UUUCAUUUUCAUUUCCCAAUAACCGACUCUUCGGUUCUCUCAAUCUCUCCUCCUUCUCUCUAGUUUCUCUGUGAUUUUAUCGAUUAAUCUGAAUAUUGACAUGGUAUCAGAGCCUUACAACGAUCCGAUCAUGUUUAUUUGCAUAUCGGUAUCACUUUUGAACAUUUGUUUGACGAUUUUUGAGGAUUUUCCUGAGAUCGAAUGGUCAGUGAUGAUUCCGUUUUGAUCGGACAUGGUUCAAAGUGUUUCACACCAUAAUAUCCGGGUGAAUCUUCUUAACCUCAACGUUUUAACAACGUUUUUAUCGUUUUUGGGUGAUUUCUGGUGAGUUAUCGGUAUCUAGGGUUUUCGGUGGUUUUGACUUGCUGGUUUACCGUCUUCCGGUGGUCCGAUUCUCAUCUCGUGGA
rnacentral:lncRNA from 1 species